UACAGAGGUCUCAAGCGUUGUUCGGAUUCAUUGGGCGUAAAGGGUGCGUAGGUGGUGGUGCAAGUCUGGUGUGAAAUCUCGGAGCUCAACUCCGAAAUUGCACCGGAUACUGCGUGACUCGAGGACUGUAGAGGAGAUCGGAAUUCACGGUGUAGCAGUGAAAUGCGUAGAUAUCGUGAGGAAGACCAGUUGCGAAGGCGGAUCUCUGGGCAGUUCCUGACACUGAGGCACGAAGGCCAGGGGAGCAAACGGG
rnacentral:rRNA from 1 species